rnacentral:rRNA from 1 species
GGACGAACGCUGGCGGCGUGCCUAAUACAUGCAAGUUGAGCGCUGAAGGUUGGUACUUGUACCAACUGGAUGAGCAGCGAACGGGUGAGUAACGCGUGGGGAAUCUGCCUUUGAGCGGGGGACAACAUUUGGAAACGAAUGCUAAUACCGCAUAAAAACUUUAAACACAAGUUUUAAGUUUGAAAGAUGCAAUUGCAUCACUCAAAGAUGAUCCCGCGUUGUAUUAGCUAGUUGGUGAGGUAAAGGCUCACCAAGGCGAUGAUACAUAGCCGACCUGAGAGGGUGAUCGGCCACAUUGGGACUGAGACACGGCCCAAACUCCUACGGGAGGCAGCAGUAGGGAAUCUUCGGCAAUGGACGAAAGUCUGACCGAGCAACGCCGCGUGAGUGAAGAAGGUUUUCGGAUCGUAAAACUCUGUUGGUAGAGAAGAACGUUGGUGAGAGUGGAAAGCUCAUCAAGUGACGGUAACUACCCAGAAAGGGACGGCUAACUACGUGCCAGCAGCCGCGGUAAUACGUAGGUCCCGAGCGUUGUCCGGAUUUAUUGGGCGUAAAGCGAGCGCAGGUGGUUUAUUAAGUCUGGUGUAAAAGGCAGUGGCUCAACCAUUGUAUGCAUUGGAAACUGGUAGACUUGAGUGCAGGAGAGGAGAGUGGAAUUCCAUGUGUAGCGGUGAAAUGCGUAGAUAUAUGGAGGAACACCGGUGGCGAAAGCGGCUCUCUGGCCUGUAACUGACACUGAGGCUCGAAAGCGUGGGGAGCAAACA